rnacentral:rRNA from 1 species
AACGUAGGACACAAGCGUUAUCCGGAGUUACUGGGCGUAAAGGGCGUGUAGGCGGAGGUGUAAGUCUAUUCUGAAAGCUCCUGGCUAAACUGGGAGAGGCGAAUGGAGACUGCAUAUCUAGAGUGAGGAAGAGGAAAGUGGAAUUCCGCGUGUAGUGGUGAAAUGCGUAGAUAUCGGAAGGAACGCCGGUGGCGAAAGCGGUCUGCUGGACCUCUUCUGACGCUGAUGCGCGAAAGCCAGGGGAGCAAACGGG